rnacentral:lncRNA from 1 species
AUGAGCUUGGAGCCUGGCUACUUGAAGGCCCCCAUUCUCACCCAAAUGACCAAGCCAAAGUCAGAGUCUGUUUUCAGGGGCUACCUGACAAUUCCCCUUGCCCAAAUUGGUGCCUGGAAUUUAAUGACGAAAAAAGAAGCAACCCUAAAUACAACAGGGCAUGUGACGCUGAAAUCACAGGGUCCAGUCCAGGCAGAGUCUCCAGAGUCUGCAGAGGGAGCCCAGACCA